rnacentral:rRNA from 1 species
GACGAACGCUGGCGGCGUGCUUAACACAUGCAAGUCGAACGGAAAGGCCCUGCUUUUGUGGGGUGCUCGAGUGGCGAACGGGUGAGUAACACGUGAGUAACCUGCCCUUGACUUUGGGAUAACUUCAGGAAACUGGGGCUAAUACCGGAUAGGAGCUCCUGCUGCAUGGUGGGGGUUGGAAAGUUUCGGCGGUUGGGGAUGGACUCGCGGCUUAUCAGCUUGUAGGUGGGGUAGUGGCUUACCAAGGCUUUGACGGGUAGCCGGCCUGAGAGGGUGACCGGCCACAUUGGGACUGAGAUACGGCCCAGACUCCUACGGGAGGCAGCAGUGGGGAAUAUUGCACAAUGGGCGGAAGCCUGAUGCAGAAACGCCGCGUGCGGGAUGACGGCCUUCGGGUUGUAAACCGCUUUCGCCUGUGACGAAGCGUGAGUGACGGUAAUGGGUAAAGAAGCACCGGCUAACUACGUG